rnacentral:rRNA from 1 species
UACGUAGGGAGCAAGCGUUGUCCGGAUUCACUGGGUGUAAAGGGUGCGCAGGCGGGAAAGUAAGUCAGAGGUGAAAUCUCACAGCUUAACUGUGAAACUGCCUUUGAUACUGCUUUUCUUGAGUUCGGGAGAGGUUGAUGGAAUUCCAGGUGUAGCGGUGAAAUGCGUAGAUAUCUGGAAGAACACCAGUGGCGAAAGCGGUCAACUGGCCCGUAACUGACGCUCAGGCACGAAAGCGUGGGUAGCGAACAGG